rnacentral:rRNA from 1 species
AGUGAACGCUGGCGGCAGGCCUAAUACAUGCAAGUCGAACGGAAGCACAGUAAGAGCUUGCCUCUACGGGUGGCGAGUGGCGGAUGGGUGAGGAAUACAUCGGAAUCUAAUUAUUCGGGGGGGAUAACGUAGGGAAACUUAUGCUAAUACAGAAUAUGAUCUACGGGUGAAAGCAGGGGAUCUUCGGAGCUUGCGCGUUUGAAUGAGCUGAAGCCGGAUUAGCUAGUUGGCGGGGUAAAGGCCCACCAAGGCGACGAUGCGUAGCUGGUCUGAGAGGAUGAUCAGCCACACUGGAACUGAGACACGGUCCAGACUCCUACGGGAGGCAGCAGUAGGGAAUAUUGGGCAAUGGGCGAAAGCCUGAUCCAGCCAUGCCGCGUGAGUGAAGAAGGCCUUCGGAUUGUAAAACUCUGUUAUUAGGGAAGAAAAACUGCGUAAGAAUACCUCGAUGUUCUGACGGUACCUAAACAGUAAGCACCGGCUAACUACGUG